rnacentral:lncRNA from 1 species
UCACUGCCAUAUGGUGUGCUGGAAAUAGUGAUGUUUUAGAAGAUCUGAUUUUGAAUCCUAGCUCUCAGCCUUACCAGCUGGGUGAUCUAUGGAGAACCACUUUCUUUUUCUUUUUCUUUCUUUUUUUUUAAUUUUAUAGUAUUUUAUUUGAUCAUUUCCAUGCAUUACUCAUUAAAGACAAAGAUCAUUUUCUUUUCUUUCUUUUUUUUUAAUUUUAUAGUAUUUUAUUUGAUCAUUUCCAUGCAUUUUUUCAUUAAAGACAAAGAUCAUUUUCUUUUCCUCCCUCCCACCCCCCGUGGCCGACGCGUGAUUCCACUGGUAUCAUAUGUGUUCUUGACUUGAACCCAUUGCCAUGUUGUUAGUAUUUGCAUCAGAGUGUUCGCUCAGAGUCUUUCCUCUGUCAUGUCCCCUCAGCCAUUGUAGUCAGGCAGUUGCUUUUCCUUGGUGUUUCUACUCCCUCAGUUUGUCCUCUGCUUUUGGAUAGUGUUUUUUUCUCCUUGAUCCCCUGCAGAUUGUGCAGGGACAUUACACUGCCACUAAUGGAGAAGUCCAUUAUUAGACAU